rnacentral:rRNA from 1 species
UACGGGGGGGGCAAGCGUUGUUCGGAAUUACUGGGCGUAAAGGGCUCGUAGGUGGCCAACUAAGUCAGACGUGAAAUCCCUCGGCUUAACCGGGGAACUGCGUUUGAAACUACAAGGCUAGAGUGUUGCAGGGGAGACUGGAAUUCCUGGUGUAGCGGUGAAAUGCGCAGAUAUCAGGAGGAACACCGGUGGCGAAGGCGGGUCUCUGGGCAACAACUGACGCUGAGGAGCGAAAGCGUGGGGAGCGAACAGG